UUCCCCUAGUAGGAUAAAAAGAGUAACAAUAGGCUCCCAUGUGGAGAUUGUAAAAUAUUGAAUAAACUUGAGAUUGAAAAUGAUUUUUUUGAAUGAUAAAGAUAUUACUGAAAAUUUGUAUUUAGAUUCUUAACUACUAGCUAAUUAAAAAAAAAAUACCUAGAAAACGAACUUUUUCCUUAACUACACUGAAUGGACGUUGGUUCUUUGGGGAUUUCCCCACUUUAAUCUUAAAAAAAGAGCUGUAUUUGUUGUGAACCAGGUAAUAAUUUAUGUGUUUUAUGUAUAUUUUACACAAAUCCUCAUUUCAUUAAGGGGUCUGUUCUUGUUAAGGUACUUGUGGCCCUGAACUGUCAAUAAUCAAUUUUUGGUAUCAUUGUUUCCUGUUCUGAUAUGAAGCUUAAAGACAAUGAACAAGCCUGAUCAAACUCACUGUUGAAGACAGACAUACUGACUUUGUCUGCUUAGAACAUUACCUUACCCAGAAAUACCAGUUGAUAUUAAAGACAGGAAUUAUGCAUGUAAAAAAAUGAGGAUUUUUAACAGAAAAUGUUCUGAGUUUUUCAUUUAAUAUUGCUAAAAUGUUUGACAAUUAUAUUAAUAUAGGCUUUUAAAUGUAUAUUAUUAUAUAUAGUUAUGAAGUUGUUUUUGUGUGACAAUGUUUUGAUAUCACUAUACACUGUUAUUUUUACCACAUGUUAAUGUUUGUGAUGUAUACAGCUCGGUUGUCUCAUAUCGCACACCUCAGUAAGUCACAACAUACCUCAGUACACAUUUAGUCGUCACAAAACCUUAUUUCUCAGUGGUUAAAGACCACACAUCUCCGCCAGGGUUUUAGUAUAGCCAACAGUACGAUACAUGGUAUAUACUGUACCAUAUUUAUCCAGUAAUAAGCCCAUAUCUGGUAAUAAGUCCAUGCCUAGUAAUAAGCCAAUGCCUGGUAUUAAGUCCAUGUCUGGUAAUAAGCCCAAUUCUGGUAAUAAGCCCAUGUCUGGUAAUAAGUCCAUGUCUGGUAAUAAGCCCAUAUCUGGUAAUAAGUCCAUGCCUAGUAAUAAGCCCAUAUCUGGUAAUAUGACCAUGUAUGAUAAUAAGCCAAAGUCUGGCAAUACUCCCAUGUCUGGUAUUAGCCGCUGUCUGGUAAUAAGCCCAUGCCUGGUAAUAUGACCAUGUAUGAUAAUAAGCCAAUGUCCGGUAAUCAACCCAUGCCUGGUAAUAAGCCCAGUCGUGUCUAUUGCAGUUCAGUAAAAAUACUGACAAAUGUUUCAUUGUAAACCCAUCCCUACUAGUCAGUAAUAAUAUGGUGCCCCCAGACUUGUUACAGGAUAAAUAUGGUAGGGAGUUUAUAAUUAUACAUUUCAUUUGUUUGUUGGUAUUGUUAUUAUGAAAACAUGAAGCUUAAUAACAUGUAUUUUUUUACAUGGUGUAAACUUUGCAAUACAUUGAUAUGAUUACAUCGAAUGGUUGUUAGUAUACUUUGUUGGUUGUUAGUACACUUGGUUGGCUGGUUGUCAGUUCAUUCAAUGAAAUUUAGAAAAACCCUGCUUCUCUAUUUCUUAACCAAAAAGGGUAAGUCAUUAGCAUUUUUAUAUGUAAAAAAAAUAAUUUAUGUUUUAAAAAAUUCAAAGCAAUGCUGGGUGCAAAUACCAUGUAAGCCUACACUUUUAUAUGGAUUACAUUGUGUAUACAGUCAGUUUACAUAAACUUACCGUUUAAAACUUUUACCACUAGGGUGGGUAGAUUUCAGUAUCACCUAUCUGUGUGUAAUAGGAGUAAACUUGAAUCUUAAAGUGGGGACAGUUUUAAAAAAAGUUGGCUAUGAAUGCCUUUUAAUAGAAAAUCACAGGCCCGUUUGUUCAUAUAAUACACCACACAAAGUUUAACUGCUAUUCUCCGAAGAAGCUAACUACACCUUUGUAUGGAAAUGAAAUGUUAAAUACAAAAAAAUAUAUCAGAGAAGGCCUACUUAGAUUUUUUCAAUCUUCCCUAUUUUUUUUAUCAUGAAAAAUGUAGCACCUGUCAUCUGAAGAAUUCGUUUUUCCAUCCUUCAUUAGUUGUCAUAAUCCUAUUUUGCAGCUGUAUAUUUCAUUUUUAAAAAUUUUGAAUGAGGGUGUAUUCUUUAUUAUAUAGAGCUCCUAACAUCCUCAUUUAUGUAAACAUGUAUAGCUAAAUGAGCUUUUAAAGAAGGAAAUGCUUUACAAAAAAAAAAAAAAAGAUGCAUGAACAUUUACAGCUAAAUUAUUACAGGUCUAGAGAUUGUCUCAGGUGGUUUUCAAGCAAAUCAAACAGGUUUCUGUUUACAUAUGAAACAUGUGAAACAAAAGAUGACUUGGGUGAUAGUUAAUAUCUUACUAGAAUUUUCCCCAAAUGCUCAUAUAUCGUCAAUGCUUGAUAAACUCCAGUAGCCACUACAUGAUGUAUAUUAGAGAGAAUCAAUUAUUCUGUGUGAUAUAGUCACAGGUUCUGUAUCUACUCUCUUUGAGAGAAUCACUAGUCCUGUAAUUUUUAUUUGAAUUUAUUUUAGUCACUAGUCUUGUAUAGUCUUGUAUUCAUGUGUGAGGGUCAAUAUUUUACUGUAAAUUUGUGUGUGAUUGAAUUGUAUUUACUAGCUCUAAUGUAUCCUUUGUGAGAUAGUUUAUUCACUGAGAGAGUCACCAUAGCAUGUUGUAUUCUGUGUGGCCAUUAGAGUUAAUAAAGAUGUUUUCUGUGAGAGUCAGUAACCAACUGUUAUGAGUGAAAAUUACAUGUACAUGUACUACAUGUAGUUCAGAUAUAUUUUGUGGAAAUCUCUAGUCUGCAGGAUUAUAUACGUGAGAGUCAAUAUAUCGGUUGGAAUCUUUGAGAGUCAAUAUUUUGGCUGUAAUCUGGGAGAGUCAAUAUUUUGGCUGUAAUCUGUGAGAGUCAAUAUUUUGGCUGUAAUCUGUGAGAGUCAAUAUUUUGGCUGUAAUCUGUGAGAGUCAAUAUUUUGGCUGUAAUCUGUGAGAGUCAAUAUUUUGGCUGUAAUAUGUAAGAAUCAAUUUGUUGUCUGUAAUCUGUGAAAGUCAAUAUAUUGAUUGUAUUCUGUGAGGUCAAUAUACACUCUGUUCUGUGAGAGUGAAUACAUUGUAUGAGUGUUUAAAUGUUCACUGUAUUUUAUGAACAUACUGCUGUGUCUUUGAGGGAAUCUGUAUAACUUAUACACAUGUCACUAGCAGCUGUAUUCCGCCUGGCAAGAGUAAAUAUUUUCACUGCAUGUUGUAUAUGAUUGAGAUUCCUUUUCAGAAUUUUUCGCAUUCUCUAAGAGUCCCUACAGUUUUUGUAUUGUAUGAGUCAAAACAUGUUCACUAUUUUCUGUGUUCAUGAGAGAAUACCAGCCGAGUCAAUCCAUAUGAGCCUAUGCGAGUCAAUAUUUCACUGCAAGAGUCAAUUUUUCACUGCGCGAGUCCAAAUUAGCUGUAAAGUGUGCAUGUGUAUUGAGUGGUUCACUGACGAAAUGAAGUGAAGCGUGGUACUAUAAAAUAUGCAUUUUACAUUAAAACAUUAUGACUUUAGUGUCGUAUUGAUUAUUUGUUCAAUAAGUAAUAUAAGCCAUGGUGUAGGUGUAGUAUAGUCUGUACAAAUCUAUCUUGUUACUUAUUCAAAAUAAACCAAUCAGAAAACUCUC